rnacentral:lncRNA from 1 species
UCAAACAAAAUGCAUAACCUCCAUGGUAAUAGACUCUCAAGCCCUAUCUAUUAUUUUACUCCUUUCUUGCAGGACAACGGGUUCUUGAGCAUAUCAGCUGAAACAAAAGUGUAUCAAGCUCAAAGAUAAGGAGAAUAUUAAAUAGAGACUCAUCAAGAAGCCUAGCUAAUCACAAAGUCGAUCUCAUUAGAAGGAUAAAGGCUGAGCCCAUGAAAGAGCCGAUCUCAACAGAGGCUCAUCAAAAGGUGAGACACCCAAUCUCUAGAUAACAUCUCCUCAAUAAAAAUUCAAUCUUCGGAUUGGUAGAGCCUCAAG